GCAAUGAGCGCAACCCCUAUCUCUAGUUACCAUCAGGUAAAGCUUGGGGACUCUAGAGAGACUGCCGGUGACAAACCGGAGGAAGGUGGGGAUGACGUCAAGUCAUCAUGGCCCUUAUGUCCUGGGCUACACACGUACUACAAUGGUCGGUACAGAGCGAUGCGAAACCGCGAGGUGGAGCAAACCGCAGAAAGCCGAUCUCAGUUCAGAUUGGAGUCUGAAACUCGACUCCAUGAAGGUGGAAUCGCUAGUAAUCGCGCAUCAGCAUGGCGCGGUGAAUACGUUCCCACGGCCUU
rnacentral:rRNA from 1 species